CCCUUAGAUGUUCUGGGCUGCACGCGCGCUACACUGAUGCGCUCAACGAGUUUACGACCUUGCCCGGAAGGGUUGGGUAAUCUUUUUAAAACGCAUCGUGAUGGGGAUAGAUUAUUGCAAUUAUUAAUCUUUAACGAGGAAUUCCUAGUAAGCGCGAGUCAUCAGCUCGCGUUGAUUACGUCCCUGCCCUUUGUACACACCGCCCGUCGCUACUACCGAUUGAACGGUUUAGUGAGGGCCUCGGAUUGGUCUCGGCCCGCUCUUUACCGGGCGGCGCCGUUGGUCGAGAAGACGCUCGAACUUGAUCGUUUAGAGGAAGUAAAAGUCGUAACA
rnacentral:rRNA from 1 species